rnacentral:rRNA from 1 species
GUGGGGAAUAUUGGACAAUGGGCGAAAGCCUGAUCCAGCCAUGCCGCGUGAACGAUGAAGGCCUUCGGGUUGUAAAGUUCUUUAGCCGAUGAUUAUAAUGACUGUAGUCGGAAAAUAAGCCCCGGCUAACUUCGUGCCAGCAGCCGCGGUAAUACGAAGGGGGCGAGCGUUAUUCGGAAUCACUGGGCGUAAAGCGUGCGUAGGCGGUUUUGUAAGUUAGGAGUGAAAGCCCAGGGCUCAACCUUGGAAUUGCUCUUAAAACUGCAAGGCUCGAAUCUCGGAGAGGAUAGCGGAAUUUCCAGUGUAGCAGUGAAAUGCGUAGAUAUUGGAAGGAACACCAGUGGCGUAAGCGGCUAUCUGGACGAGUAUUGACGCUGAGGCACGAAAGCGUGGGGAUCAAACAGGAUUAGAUACCCUGGUAGUCC